UUCCCAUUGGUAGGACUUACUGUGACAUAAAUGUAGCUUUUUAAAAAGGGAUCAAGAAAAAAAGGGGGGGAUCCAGGAGGUGAGAUGCCUUAAUCUUGAUUCAUUUCCCCUGUCUCAAAACUUCUAUCCCCCUCUUUUUCCCUUUAGUUUCCCCUUUGCAUUGUCACUCCUAUAAGCCUCAAGUGCAUGGUUCUGUGGUGAAAUUUAUGAUGUUAUUAAGAAAGGGCAUUAAAUACCUUUCAAGUAUGGGAAGGAUGUUAACAUUAAGGGUAUU
rnacentral:lncRNA from 1 species